rnacentral:misc_RNA from 1 species
ACAAUUUAUGAACAAGGAAUAGUCUGCAGUGAACAUUAUUGUAAGUAGAAGAUCAGAGUAUUCUACAACAAUCGCGAAGGUAAAGCUCCAAUAUUUUGGUCUUAACCGAGAUUUGGCUUCAUAAUUAUUGAGAUCACCUCCAACUGAUGGACAACAAGUUUAAUGGUACUAGUGCACCUCUUUUAACCCAUUAGCUCUCCAAUCUUAGGACAUGAGUUCUAAGGUUGGGCUUGGAUUUCUAUAACUUAGGAAGUGUUUGGUAGGAGAUUAAAAAAUUAAGUACUAAAUAUUACUGUUGUAAGUUUUAACUUUUAAUGAGAGUAAUUAUUAAUUUAGGCUUCUGAGAUUGACAUUUAACUCCUCAAAAAAGUAUACAUGUUAAUGAGAUAAAAAAUUAACAUACUUACACAUUAUUAAUGAGAGAUUAAAAAUUACAACGAUAACAAUGACCCUACUCAUGCCAAACACUCCUUUAUAUGGAAGUGAGCUAUUAACAAAAAUUUUUAUUAGCCUCUUAUUUCAUAUUAUCUGUGUUUUAAGGUUGGGCUUUGACUUCUAAAACUAAUAAUGAGAGUGAGAAUUAUAGAGGUAACAUAGAAUAUCGGAAAUAUAAUUUUAAUGUUAAUUCGUAUUAAUAUUUACCCUUUCAGUAUAAAAGUAUGAUAACACAAAAAUAAAAAUUAUUAAAUUAGAUAAAAAAAAUUUAACUUCAGCAUUUUUCAAAGGCUAUGUCAAAUUCAACAAUGAGGUUAGCUCAAUUUUUAUAAUAAAAAAGGAAAAGGCCCUUUAAACUAUUAAAAAAUAGUUCACACUUCAAUUCUAGUCAAAUCAAGCAUGUCAUUGAAAUCCUUAAAUUUUUUAAAAUAGCUACUCAAUCUCUUAAACUUUAAAAAUAACUCAAAAAAGUUUAAAACCUUAACUUUGUUAAGUCUCCAUUAAAGAACUAAAAAAAAUGGACAUUUAAGCUCCUAAUAAAUAAUUU